rnacentral:rRNA from 1 species
UGGGGAAUAUUGCACAAUGGGCGCAAGCCUGAUGCAGCCAUGCCGCGUGUAUGAAGAAGGCCUUCGGGUUGUAAAGUACUUUCAGCGGGGAGGAAGGUGUUGAGGCUAAUAACCUCAGCAAUUGACGUUACCCGCAGAAGAAGCACCGGCUAACUCCGUGCCAGCAGCCGCGGUAAUACGAAGGGUGCAAGCGUUAAUCGGAAUUACUGGGCGUAAAGCGCACGCAGGCGGUCUGUCAAGUCGGAUGUGAAAUCCCCGGGCUCAACCUGGGAACUGCAUUCGAAACUGGCAGGCUAGAGUCUUGUAGAGGGGGGUAGAAUUCCAGGUGUAGCGGUGAAAUGCGUAGAGAUCUGGAGGAAUACCGGUGGCGAAGGCGGCCCCCUGGACAAAGACUGACGCUCAGGUGCGAAAGCGUGGGGAGCAAACA